rnacentral:rRNA from 1 species
UAAUAGUGUAUAUUAAAGUUGUUGCAGUUAAAAAGCUCGUAGUUGAAUGUUGGUGUCGAACGAGCGGUCAGCUUCGGCUGUACUGCUCUCUCGACUCCUUCCUUCUGUGGACUACGUCGCACUUUACUGUGUGGCGCUAGGACGCAGAUCGUUUACUGUGAAAAAAUUAGAGUGUUCAAAGCAGGCCGUACGCUUGAAUACAUUGGCAUGGAAUAAUGGAAUAGGACGUCGGGCCUAUUUUGUUGGUUCUAGGACCGUCGUAAUGAUUAAUAGGGACAGUUGGGGCCGUUUAUAUUCCGUAGUCAGAGGUGAAAUUCUUGGAUUUACGGAAGAUAAACUACUGCGAAAGCAUUCGGCAAGGAUGUUUUCGUUAA